GAUGAACGCUGGCGGCGUGCCUAAUACAUGCAAGUCGAGCGAACGGACGAGAAGCUUGCUUCUCUGAUGUUAGCGGCGGACGGGUGAGUAACACGUGGAUAACCUACCUAUAAGACUGGGAUAACUUCGGGAAACCGGAGCUAAUACCGGAUGAUAUUUUGAACCGCAUGGUUCAAAAGUGAAAGACGGUCUUGCUGUCACUUAUAGAUGGAUCCGCGCUGCAUUAGCUAGUUGGUAAGGUAACGGCUUACCAAGGCAACGAUGCAUAGCCGACCUGAGAGGGUGAUCGGCCACACUGGAACUGAGACACGGUCCAGACUCCUACGGGAGGCAGCAGUAGGGAAUAUUCCGCAAUGGGCGAAAGCCUGACGGAGCAACGCCGCGUGAGUGAUGAAGGUCUUCGGAUCGUAAAACUCUGUUAUUAGGGAAGAACAUAUGUAUAAGUAACUGUGCACAUCUUGACGGUACCUAAUCAGAAAGCAACGGCUAACUACGUG
rnacentral:rRNA from 1 species